AACAAGGUCUCCGUUGGUGAACCAGCGGAGGGAUCAUUAUCGAGUUAUUCAACUCCCAAACCCUAUGUGAACUUACCACUUGUUGCUUCGGCGCGCGCUUCGGCGCCGCCGAGGACACUUAAACUCUUUGUUUUUAUAAGCAUUUCUGAGUGGCUGAAAGGCAAAAAUACAAAUGAAUCAAAACUUUCAACAACGGAUCUCUUGGUUCUGGCAUCGAUGAAGAACGCAGCGAAAUGCGAUAAGUAAUGUGAAUUGCAGAAUUCAGUGAAUCAUCGAAUCUUUGAACGCACAUUGCGCCCGCCAGCAUUCUGGCGGGCAUGCCUGUUCGAGCGUCAUUUCAACCCUCGAGCCCGACUCUUUAGAGGACGGCUCGGCGUUGGGGGACGGCAGACUCCCCCCGGCAUCUCGCCGGGGACGCCGCCCCCGAAAUCUAGUGGCGGCCCUCCGAGGCGACCUCUGCGUAGUAACUUGUUCUCGCACCGGAAAGCUCAGAGCGGCCACGCCGUAAAACCCCAACUUUUUUCAGGUUGACCUCGAAUCAGGUAGGACUACCCAGCUGAAUUUAAGCAUAUCAAUAAGCGGAGGAA
rnacentral:rRNA from 1 species